AUACUUACCUGGCGGGGGAGAUACCAUGAUCAAUAAGGUGGUUCUCCCAAGGUGAGGCUAUCCCAUGCACUUCGGGUGUGCUGAUGCCUGCAAUAUCCCCAAAUGCGGGAUACUCAACUGCAAAAUUUGUGAUUGUGGGGGACUGCGUUCGCGCUUUCCCCCG